UACGGGGGGUGCGAGCGUUAAUCGGAAUAACUGGGCGUAAAGCGCACGUAGGCGGACAUGUAAGUGAGGGGUGAAAUCCCCGGGCUGAACCUGGGAAUUGCUUUUCAUACUGCGAGACUAGAGUGCAUUAGAGAUGAGUAGAAUUCCACGUGUAGCGGUGAAAUGCGUAGAGAUGGGAAGGAACAUCGGUGGCGAAGGCAACCCCUUGGG
rnacentral:rRNA from 1 species